UGGUUAUCUCCUACUGCCUGACUGCAUGAGAUAGGUCAUCUCUUCUUGGCUGACUCUGAAACAUGUAGCUCUUCAGAGUGAGAGAACAAUUUGUGUUUCCUCUAAAUCCAAAAGUAUAUAACAUAACCUACCUCACUUCACUCCCUGACCAUGGGUAAAAGUUCAAAUGAGUCCUGAACAGGGAUGGCAGCUGCUGUUUUCAUCCUCUUUAUCUCCAAGCAGUCCAGAGUGGAUGAGUAAUGAUUUUGUUCCAAGAAGAAAGUAUUAA
rnacentral:lncRNA from 1 species